UACGUAGGGUGCAAGCGUUUGUCCGGAAUCAUUGGGCGUAAAGCGCGCGUAGGUGGCUUCGUAAGUCCGUUGUGAAAGUCAAAGGCUCAACCUUUGAAUGCCGAUGGAUACUGCGAAGCUAGAGUACGGAAGAGGCGAGUGGAAUUCCUGGUGUAGCGGUGGAAUGCGCAGAUAUCAGGAGGAACACCAAUAGCGAAGGCAGCUCGCUGGGACGUUACUGACACUAAGGCGCGAAAGCGUGGGGAGCGAACAGG
rnacentral:rRNA from 1 species